rnacentral:rRNA from 1 species
CCUACGGGCGGCAGCAGUGGGGAAUAUUGGACAAUGGGCGAAAGCCUGAUCCAGCCAUGCCGCGUGUGUGAAGAAGGCCUUCGGGUUGUAAAGCACUUUCAGUGGGGAAGAAAGCCUUGGGGCUAAUACCCUCGAGGAAGGACAUCACCCACAGAAGAAGCACCGGCUAACUCCGUGCCAGCAGCCGCGGUAAUACGGAGGGUGCGAGCGUUAAUCGGAAUUACUGGGCGUAAAGCGCGCGUAGGCGGUCUGAUAAGCCGGUUGUGAAAGCCCCGGGCUCAACCUGGGAACGGCAUCCGGAACUGUCAGGCUAGAGUGCAGGAGAGGAAGGUAGAAUUCCCGGUGUAGCGGUGAAAUGCGUAGAGAUCGGGAGGAAUACCAGUGGCGAAGGCGGCCUUCUGGACUGACACUGACGCUGAGGUGCGAAAGCGUGGGUAACAAACAGGAUUAGAUACCCCAGUAGUC